rnacentral:rRNA from 1 species
UACGGAGGGGGCUAGCGUUAUUCGGAAUUAUUGGGCGUAAAGGGCGUGUAGGCGGCUUCGUGUGUCCCAUGUGAAAAGCCCUCGGCUCAACCGGGGAACUGCAUGGGAAACUGCGGAGCUUGAGUCCGGGAGAGGAUAGUGGAAUUCCCAGUGUAGCGGUGAAAUGCGUAGAUAUUGGGAGGAACACCGGUGGCGAAGGCGGCUAUCUGGACCGGUACUGACGCUGAGACGCGAAAGCCAGGGGAGCAAACGGG